rnacentral:lncRNA from 1 species
GUCUCCUCCGUGAUUGUACAAAGAACCAGGCAGAGAUCCUGGAAGGUCAUGAGGAUGGGAAGUGAGUCCGCGGGGGUCGUGUCUCCCCCCGGGGUGCGUGGGGCUCAGCAACACGUGUGGGGCCCUUCUCCCCAAGGCUCACUCUAGGACUCCCGGGAAAGACAGCUUGGGUGAACCUGGGUGUGGCAGGUAUUACAGGAAGGAAAAUGGGCUGUAUGGGUGAUAGAUAGGAGUGUAGGGGGAAGGGAUAGCAGGCGGAGCGGGGAAGGGAUGGCGCAGGUGGAGCACGGGCCCCUGCAGAACCAUGAGGCCACUAGGUUUCAGAGCCCUCAGGGUCCUACUGUCCCAGAAAGCCUGCGGGUCCAGCACCGGGCUUCUGUGUCUUAGGGCAGCUUUUGGAGGUGCUUCCUUUGUCUGCUAACUUACCUUUACCUUCCUACAUUUUGUUUGAAGUCAGAGAAAAUUGCCCAUUUGGGGGCAACAAUGAAGCAUUCAUCACUCUCCGGAGCUAAGCCAUCUCGAGUAGCCCUCAAUCAAACUCUGCUAUUUUUACCUCAGAGCACAGAGGCCACAGCGGAUAAAGGACCCUUAAGACAGGCACAGAGGACAGAGGACAUGCUCUCCUGGUGUGAAAAGCUCUG